rnacentral:lncRNA from 7 species
AUAUCACUGGAGAUCUCUGCAUAUCUGAAGCCUUCUAAAGAGAUAACGUGUCAGAACUGGUGGGAUGGCCUCAAGUGCUGCAGCUUAAAGCUGAGUUAUCUGUACAGCUCACUGCGUAGCAGAAUAGAAAAUGAAAUGGACACAGAAUCACAAACAUAAACUUUUUCAAGUGAAAGAAUCAGACAUACAGAUGGCUAAGUGGCCAGGAUGUCACACCAAGAAUGGAGGUCUCCUUACCUCUAGUCUGUUCCAGAAGCCAUUAUAUAUCAAACUAAAAAAAAUCUCAUUAAACAGAAACUCUCCGGAUGAAUAAAAAUGCCAUGUGAAAAACAAAAUGUUACAAUAAUUCAUCUUACAUCAGGCUCAUAUUUUCAAAACUUUCCCUUUAAUGUUGACAAAUAUCUCAGUGAUGUUAAAAUGUCUGUAUGAGCAACUUUUCCAAGGUAAAAUCCUAUUUCCCUAUGAAUUGCAUAUCCUGACUGACUUUGUGGACCUAAUCUUUCCAUAAUGCUUGGGUUGGGUUUUUUUGCCAGUUUAAUUAGCAGCUGCAAGUUAACAAGCUUUUGGUUAUAAUCAGAACUACAGUUAACUGUUCUGCAGGUAGUGUUUGGGAAUAUGUGUAGAACUAAAGAUUUGAAAGAUAAACAAAUUGGACACAAUUUUCAAAAUUCCUAUUUAUCUGGUGAUUUGGAUUGAUCUUUGGAGACUGCUCUGUUUCUUUUUAUUACUGAAGCUAUACCGAAGCUGAAAAUUCAUAAACAGUUCACACUACUUCGAAACAUGAGCAAAAGAGACUAUUUUGCAGGGAACCAGUUUGAUAAAAUUAUGAAUAGGUUCACACUGCAAAAAUCAAACAUGACUUAAGUUUUGUGCAGGAACAGGGGUCUUACUGUAGAACUUAGAGUAUUCAUGAUGUUAAUUUUCGUUAAAAGUGCUUCCACUUUUUUACAAAUGAUAAAAUUAUUCCAGAAGGAGAAAUCUGUAAAUUUUAUAAUGCAUUAGAGAAAAAGAAGAAAUGUAUAGAUGUAUUACUUUUCAGGGUCUUCUGAAUCAUUCUUCCCACAAUAGAGUACCAUAGUCUCCAGUGCAAAACAAGAAAUGAUGCUGACAGGAUUUUGUCAAAGUGAACAAACCAUCAGAGAAUUCAGCAUCCAGAUGUUACAUGGAUCAAUAUAUCAUUGAUCCACAGCAAUUUAGAGCAAAAAGCUAAUUAAGAGUUUUGUUGUACUUUUUUUCUUCUAUUAAGCUCUUACUACAACAAAUUUUUCUAGUCUCAAAAAUGUUUAUUUCUAUCCUCUCCUUUAAAAAAAAAAAAGCAGACUGCUGGAACUGACGAGAUGAAAAUAGCAGUUGUUUUCCAAAACAGGGGUUGCGGAUACAACUUUCAGCUUUAUUUGUUAUUUAUUAAAAAUCUGAAUCCACCUAGACUUUAUCAAUGGGAGAUUCCAUAUACGUUAAGGGAAGCAUCAAUGACUUGCCUCCUAGGAAGUACACUCUCAUGAAACAAAUGCUCCCACAGCAGUGAUCUCAUUUUAUUUCCUCUGUAGGUACCUCAUGUUAUCAACUGAGCCUACAAAUUAAACAUACAAAAACUACAAAGAAUCAGCUAUGUGAACUGUAAGAUCUAUUCUCAAUAUUAUCUCUUCUGU